UACCUGGUUGAUCCUGCCAGUAGUCAUAUGCUUGUCUCAAAGAUUAAGCCAUGCAAGUCUAAGUACGAGCUCUCGUACAGUGAAACUGCGAAUGGCUCAUUAAAUCAGUUAUGGUUCAUUUGAUCGUACAGUUUACUUGGAUAACUGUGGUAAUUCUAGAGCUAAUACAUGCGAGAAGCGCCGACCUCGCGGGAGGCGUGCAUUUAUCAGACCAAAAACCGGCCGCGUCUUCGGGCGCGUUCGCCUUGGUGACUCUGGAUAACUUUGCGGAUCGCACGGUCUAGCACCGGCGACGGAUCAUUCAAGAGUCUGCCCUAUCAACUUUCGUCGGUACGGUAUUUGCCUACCGAGGUUCUUACGGGUGACGGGGAAUCAGGGUUCGAUUCCGGAGAGGGAGCCUGAGAAACGGCUACCACAUCCAAGGAAGGCAGCAGGCGCGCAAAUUACCCAUUCCCGACGCGGGGAGGUAGUGACGAAAAAUAACAAUGCAGGACUCGUUCGAGGCCCUGUAAUUGGAAUGAGUACACUUUAAAAGCUUUAACGAGUAUCCAUUGGAGGGCAAGUCUGGUGCCAGCAGCCGCGGUAAUUCCAGCUCCAAAAGUAUAUAUUUAAGUUGUUGCGGUUAAAAAGCUCGUAGUUGGAUUUUGGGCGCAGGCGGCCGGUCCGUCGCAAGGCGUGUACUGGACGUCCUGGCCUUCCCUCCGGUUCUCCGCCGGUGCUCUUGACUGAGUGUCGGCGGCGGCCGGAACGUUUACUUU
rnacentral:ncRNA from 1 species